GGCGGGGCCCCGGUGCCAGGUGCGGUUUGGUCCUCCCCGGGCGCCGUAGGCGGCGCAUCCCUCGCGCCCGGGGCUGAGAUCCUCCCGCGCCUGAGGCAGCGGUGGCAGCUGAGCGGAGCUGCAGUGGCCCCAGCCUCCUCCCCAUUUCCGCGCCUCCGGGACCAUGGCGGCGCAGGCGGGUGAAGAUGCCUGGAGGUGCCGGGGCUGUGGAGACCAUGUCACUCCAAACCAGAGGUUAUACAGGACAGUCAGUGAGGCCUGGCAUAGCUCCUGCUUCCGGUGUUCAGAAUGCCAGGAUUCCCUUACCAACUGGUACUACGAGAAGGAUGGGAAGCUUUACUGCCACAAGGACUACUGGGGGAAGUUUGGGGAGUUCUGCCAUGGAUGCUCCCUGCUGAUGACAGGACCCGCCAUGGUGGCCGGGGAGUUCAAGUACCACCCAGAGUGCUUUGCCUGUAUGAGCUGCAAGGUGAUCAUUGAGGAUGGAGAUGCAUAUGCCCUGGUGCAGCAUGCCACCCUCUACUGUGGGAAGUGCCACAACGAGGUGGUGCUGGCACCCAUGUUUGAGAGGCUGUCCACGGAGUCUGUUCAGGACCAGCUGCCCUACUCCGUCACACACAUCUCCCUGCCGGCCACCACUGAGGGCAGGCGGGGCUUCUCAGUGUCUGUGGAGAGUGCCUGCUCCAACUACGCCACCACUGUGCAAGUAAAGGAGGUCAACCGGAUGCACAUCAGUCCCAACAACCGCAAUGCCAUCCACCCUGGAGACCGCAUCUUGGAGAUCAAUGGGACCCCCGUCCGCACACUCCGCGUGGAGGAGGUUGAAGAUGCCAUUAGCCAGACGAGCCAGACGCUUCAGCUCUUGAUUGAACAUGACCCCGUCUCCCAGCGCCUGGACCAGCUGCGGCUGGAUGCACGGCUCUCUCCCCACAUGCAGAAUGCUGGACACUCCCACACCCUUAGCCCCCUGGACACCAAGGAGAAUCUGGAAGGGACACUAAGGAGACGCUCCCUAAGGCGCAGUAACAGCAUCUCCAAGUCCCCUGGUCCCAGCUCCCCAAAGGAGCCCCUCCUGCUCAGCCGUGACAUCAGCCGCUCCGAAUCCCUGCGAUGCUCCAGUAGCUGCUCGCAGCAGAUCUUCCGGCCAUGUGACCUGAUCCACGGGGAGGUCCUGGGGAAGGGCUUCUUUGGGCAGGCCAUCAAGGUGACACACAAAGCCACAGGCAAAGUGAUGGUCAUGAAGGAGUUAAUUCGGUGUGAUGAGGAGACACAGAAGACUUUCCUGACUGAGGUGAAGGUGAUGCGCAGCCUGGACCACCCCAACGUGCUCAAGUUCAUCGGUGUGCUGUACAAGGACAAGAAGCUGAACCUGCUGACUGAGUACAUCGAGGGGGGCACACUGAAGGACUUUCUGCGCAGCGUGGACCCGUUCCCCUGGCAGCAGAAGGUCAGAUUUGCCAAAGGCAUCGCCUCUGGAAUGGCCUAUUUACAUUCCAUGUGCAUCAUCCACCGGGACCUGAACUCACACAACUGCCUCAUCAAGCUGGUAUGUCCCACCACUCUGGGCCACUUCCCUGUCACUAGGGAAGCUAACUGUCCCCUCCUGCCUUUUUUUUUUUUUUUUUUUCCCCGCACCCACAACAUACGGGAGUUCCAGGCUAGGGGUCCAAUCAGAGGUAUAGUUGCUACAGCCAUAGCAACACCAGAUCUGAGCCACAUCUUCAACCUACACUACAGCUCACAGCAACGCCAGAUCCUUAACCCACUGAGCGAGGCCAGGAUACCAGUUGGGUAGCGCAUGGAUACUAGUUGGGUUCGUUACCACUGAGCCACAAUGGGAACUCCUCCUGUCCUGCUCUAGACCAGAAGUAUGGCCAGGGCUCCUUCUUGCCCUUCUUGCUGCCUCCCAUGCCCUCCUCUGUCUUCUGGGGGCCCCCCUGACACAUACAGUAAAGUCUGCUUCCUCCCAAAGGCAGCCUUUGAAAUCCUUCAGUCACAAGGGACUUCAGAAGUUCCUUAGCUGUAUGUUGUCCCUUUUCCUGGUCUUCCCCUGCGGUAGUAAAAGCCACUGAGGACUCCGAUUACAGCUGUGACACCUGAAUCCUCAAGGCCACAGAGCUAAUAAAUUUCCAGUCACUUCCUCCUACUGGCCAGUCAGUCCUGGCUAUUAUAAGUUACUCCUCCUGUUGCCUUACAGUGCGGCUUCCUGGGUGUCCACUCACUGGCCCUGACUGUGCCCUCUGGACUCACACCAAACAAUCUUAAUCCCUUUUCCACAUGACUGCCUUGUAGCUAUUUGAAGAGCUUAUCUCCCCCACAUCCCCCCACUGAAUGCCUCCACCUCAUCUUUCCCUGUCUUAUCCUGGUUCUAGCCAUGGCCUUAAAUCUUUCUGGGAACAAGGCAGGAUGAGAAAAAAUCAAAACAAAAGAAAUCCUCUGUCCUGCCUCCAAGUUCCUCCUUCCAGGUCCCAGAGCCUUACCCGUCCCAGCUCCAGGGCCUCUGCUGUGCACCCCUGGGUCUGGGGAUCUGCCAUGUGGAGAGAGCAGACGGACAAGACUGUGGUGGUGGCUGACUUUGGGCUGUCACGGCUCAUAGUGGAGGAGCGGAAGAAGCCCUCAGUCGAGAAGGCCGCCACCAAGAAACGUACCUUACGCAAGAGUGACCGCAAGAAGCGCUACACGGUAGUGGGAAACCCCUACUGGAUGGCCCCUGAGAUGCUGAACGGAAAGAGCUAUGAUGAGACGGUGGAUGUCUUCUCUUUUGGGAUCGUGCUCUGUGAGAUCAUUGGGCAGGUGUAUGCAGAUCCUGAUUGCCUGCCCCGAACACUGGACUUUGGCCUCAACGUGAAGCUUUUCUGGGAGAAGUUUGUUCCCACAGACUGCCCCCCGGCCUUCUUCCCCCUGGCUGCCAUCUGCUGCAAACUGGAGCCCGAGAGCAGACCGGCAUUCUCAAAACUGGAGGACUCCUUUGAGGCCCUCUCCCUGUACCUGGGGGAGUUGGGCAUCCCGCUGCCAGCCGAGCUGGAGGAACUAGACCAUACUGUGAGCCUGCAGUACGGCCUGAUCCGGGACUCGCCCCCCUAGCCCUGGCCGAGCCCCCUGCGGGGGGGCGUCCACAGCCACCACUGCCCCCUCUUCGCCCAGCCCUGCCAUGGGCGGGGCCAUCCGGGCGUCUCGUGGAUUGGCAGCUUGUUUAGAAGCAGAACAAGCCAUUCUACUACCUCCCUAGGAGGCGAGCGGGCCCAGCACCAGGGAAACACAUCUCCGCAUGUUCUGAGGCCUGGUUAUCGUCUGUAAAUCCAACACUCGCCUGAAAGCUGUGAAGAAGAAAAAAACGAAAAAAAUAAGCCUGGUCAUGUGCCAGGAGGAAUCUGUUACUCAUGACCACUCGGGAACUCCCCAGCAGUGGAUUCAGGGAGCUCUUGCUUACACUAAUCAGCGCGACCUGGGCCUGCUGGGCAGGAUCCCAGGUGAACCUGCAUGGGCCCUGAGGCCUCCGGUCCAGCUGGGAGCAGGAGGACCUCAUGUGGAAGCAUGGAGGAGAGAGAGCGCAAUGCAAGGACGUAAAGCAACAGUGGUGCUACCCCCUCCCACGCCACGUCCCGCCUCCCCUGGGACAAGGCUGAGGGCAGAGGUCUGAGAGCCCCUCAGUUAGUGUGUGGUGGAUCUGGCCAGGAGUUGUGGGAAGGGCUGGUUUCUGUCGCCUCCCAGGCUCACGGGGAACAGCAGACUAUGAUGCUGAGCCUGGCUGGGAACUUCUAGGCACAUCUUUUCUGCCUCCAAGCAAGCAGUCAGCCACACAUGCAGAAAGGGAAGAGGCCCUGCCCUCUAGAAAGCCCUAGUGUCUUGGCUUUUGUCACACCCUGGUGGGCACUCCAGCCAGGUGCCUGAGACAUUUGGCUCUGCGGGUUCGGGAGGACAGUGUGGCUCAUCUGGGGCGGAUGUGGGAAUCUCAGCAAUCUCCUGGCCCUGUCCACACCGCUGCUCACCCCUCCAUGUCUCAUCCAGGCAGCACCUUGGGGGGUAGAGGUGGUGGUAGAGCCCCAGAGUGGAGGUGCUGGGGGAGACAGCUCCCAUGCUGGGCUCUUUGGCUUCUACCUCCCUUGUUGGCUGGCCCAGCUCCUCGGCUGCUGUCCUCAGCCUGCUGAGCCACAGCUGCAGGUGCCAGAAAGUCCUGGGGGCACCCUCCACCCUGACUUCCAGAGCUGGGGGGUCUUCACCACAAAUAGAUUUGCUGCCUCCUAAGUGUGACCUUGCACCAUAUUUAACAAGUUAGGAAUGGGUUCGGGGUAUUACUGCAGUGUGUGGUGGUUGUAUUGGGGUGGGGGGAGGAGGUGGGUGGGAGUGAUCCGGGAGAACGGUUGCUGUUAAAACGAUCGUGUUGUUUAUGUUUUAUCUGUGGGGUGAUAUGUGAAAUACUGUACAUAGGCCUGAUGAGUUGUGGGAUUAGAAUGUCAUCUCUGGCCAGUUUUCUUGCUGUAUAGACCAUACUUAGGUGUAGAGUGUGCAAGCUUGCUGUAGCAUUGAGCCCUGGGCUCCCAGCAGCAGCGAGGUCAGCAUCGUGUGGCCAGUUGUGCCUCAGUGUCCCCAGCAAACGUGGGUGGGAGUGGUGGACCCAAGCUGGGCCACUGAGCAGACCAAAUAAAUUAAGCAGUUAACAUAACUGACAA